CGGGGUGCAGCAGGCGCGAAAACUUGGCAAUGCGAGAAAUCGUGACCAGGGAACUCCAAGUGCAUCGGGUAAGACCGAUGCUUUUCUAGACUCUAAAAAGGUCUUGGAAUAAGAGGUGGGUAAGGACGGUGCCAGCCGCCGCGGUAAUACCGGCGCCUCAAGUGGUAGUCGCUUUUAUUGGGCCUAAAACGUCCGUAGCCGGUCUGAUACAUUCGUGGGUAAAUCAACCAGCUUAACUGGUUGAAUUCUGCGAGGACGGUCAGACUUGGGACCGGGAGAGGUGUGGGGUACGCUCAGGGUAGGGGUAAAAUCCUGUCAUCCUGAGCGGACCACCUGUUGCGAAGGCGCCACACUAGAACGGAUCCGACGGUCAGGGACGAAGCCUAGGGGCACGAACCGGAUUAGAUACCCGGGUAGUCCUAGGUGUAAACGCUGUGGACUUGAUGUUGGGGGUGCUCCGAGCACUCUCAGUGUCGAAGCGAAGGUGAUAAGUCCACUGCCUGGGAAGUACGGUCGCAAGGCUGAAACUUAAAGGAAUUGGCGGG
rnacentral:rRNA from 1 species